rnacentral:lncRNA from 1 species
AGCGUUGUGGACUUCCUGAAUUCAAAGGACUUAUCCCAGCACCUCUGGCUAUCCUUACCACUUGUGGAUGAAGAAACUGAGCCACUGAGAAGUUUGAGAACAAUGCCCAAGGUAACAGUGCUAAUGGCAAUUCUCUGUCUCAAAGUCCACACUUAAGGACUAGACCACACAAACAGCCUCAUUGACAAAGCGUGGAGAAAAAUCACCUUGAAUUUUUCUCUAUCAUUGGAACUUGAAGCCAGAAGAGACUAGAGAUCCCUUCUUCAUGGAAUGCAGUUCUUCGUUUUGAAUUCUUGUGAAGAAAAAUUGUGUUCUCCAAAAACUUUCUGUCACUCAAGCAGAUGACAGUGAAAGAAAUAUCCUCAUGGCUUUGCUUGUUUGUUUUCUAACCCAUCA